rnacentral:rRNA from 1 species
ACACUUGUCAUCUUUAUAUCUCCACCUGUGCACCUUUUGUAGAUCUGGAUAUCUUUCUGAAUGCCUGCAUUCAGGUUUGAGGAUUGACUUGUCUUUCCUUACAUUUCCAGGCCUACGUUUCUUCAUAUACACCAUGUAUGUUAUAGAAUGUAAUGAAAAGGGCCUUUGUGCCUACAAACUUAUACAACUUUCAGCAACGGAUCUCUUGGCUCUCGCAUCGAUGAAGAACGCAGCGAAAUGCGAUAAGUAAUGUGAAUUGCAGAAUUCAGUGAAUCAUCGAAUCUUUGAACGCACCUUGCGCUCCUUGGUAUUCCGAGGAGCAUGCCUGUUUGAGUGUCAUUAAUAUAUCAACCUCCUCAGGUUUUUACUUGUCGAGUGUUUGGAUGUGGGGGUUUUUUUUGCUGGUCUCUUUUGAGAUCGGCUCCCCUGAAAUGCAUUAGCGGAACAAUUUGUUGACCCGUUCAUUGGUGUGAUAACUAUCUACGCUAUUGACGUGAAGCAGGUUCAGCUUCUAACAGUCCAUUAACUUGGACAAAUUUUCAUUAAUGUGACCUCAAAUCAGGUAGGACUACCCGCUGAACUUAAGCAUAU